rnacentral:rRNA from 2 species
AAAUUGAAGAGUUUGAUCAUGGCUCAGAUUGAACGCUGGCGGCAGGCCUAACACAUGCAAGUCGAGCGGUAGCACAGAGAGCUUGCUCUCGGGUGACGAGCGGCGGACGGGUGAGUAAUGUCUGGGAAACUGCCUGAUGGAGGGGGAUAACUACUGGAAACGGUAGCUAAUACCGCAUAAUGUCGCAAGACCAAAGUGGGGGACCUUCGGGCCUCAUGCCAUCAGAUGUGCCCAGAUGGGAUUAGCUAGUAGGUGGGGUAACGGCUCACCUAGGCGACGAUCCCUAGCUGGUCUGAGAGGAUGACCAGCCACACUGGAACUGAGACACGGUCCAGACUCCUACGGGAGGCAGCAGUGGGGAAUAUUGCACAAUGGGCGCAAGCCUGAUGCAGCCAUGCCGCGUGUGUGAAGAAGGCCUUCGGGUUGUAAAGCACUUUCAGCGGGGAGGAAGGCGAUAAGGUUAAUAACCUUGUCGAUUGACGUUACCCGCAGAAGAAGCACCGGCUAACUCCGUGCCAGCAGCCGCGGUAAUACGGAGGGUGCAAGCGUUAAUCGGAAUUACUGGGCGUAAAGCGCACGCAGGCGGUCUGUCAAGUCGGAUGUGAAAUCCCCGGGCUUAACCUGGGAACUGCAUUCGAAACUGGCAGGCUAGAGUCUUGUAGAGGGGGGUAGAAUUCCAGGUGUAGCGGUGAAAUGCGUAGAGAUCUGGAGGAAUACCGGUGGCGAAGGCGGCCCCCUGGACAAAGACUGACGCUCAGGUGCGAAAGCGUGGGGAGCAAACAGGAUUAGAUACCCUGGUAGUCCACGCCGUAAACGAUGUCGAUUUGGAGGUUGUGCCCUUGAGGCGUGGCUUCCGGAGCUAACGCGUUAAAUCGACCGCCUGGGGAGUACGGCCGCAAGGUUAAAACUCAAAUGAAUUGACGGGGGCCCGCACAAGCGGUGGAGCAUGUGGUUUAAUUCGAUGCAACGCGAAGAACCUUACCUGGUCUUGACAUCCACAGAACUUUCCAGAGAUGGAUUGGUGCCUUCGGGAACUGUGAGACAGGUGCUGCAUGGCUGUCGUCAGCUCGUGUUGUGAAAUGUUGGGUUAAGUCCCGCAACGAGCGCAACCCUUAUCCUUUGUUGCCAGCGGUCCGGCCGGGAACUCAAAGGAGACUGCCAGUGAUAAACUGGAGGAAGGUGGGGAUGACGUCAAGUCAUCAUGGCCCUUACGACCAGGGCUACACACGUGCUACAAUGGCAUAUACAAAGAGAAGCGACCUCGCGAGAGCAAGCGGACCUCAUAAAGUAUGUCGUAGUCCGGAUUGGAGUCUGCAACUCGACUCCAUGAAGUCGGAAUCGCUAGUAAUCGUAGAUCAGAAUGCUACGGUGAAUACGUUCCCGGGCCUUGUACACACCGCCCGUCACACCAUGGGAGUGGGUUGCAAAAGAAGUAGGUAGCUUAACCUUCGGGAGGGCGCUUACCACUUUGUGAUUCAUGACUGGGGUGAAGUCGUAACAAGGUAACCGUAGGGGAACCUGCGGUUGGAUCACCUCCUUACCUUAAAGAA